UGCAAGUCGAACGAUGAUCCCAGCUUGCUGGGGGAUUAGUGGCGAACGGGUGAGUAACACGUGAGUAACCUGCCCUUGACUCUGGGAUAAGCCUGGGAAACUGGGUCUAAUACCGGAUAUGACCGCUCUGACGCAUGUCAGGUGGUGGAAAGCUUUUGUGGUUUUGGAUGGACUCGCGGCCUAUCAGCUUGUUGGUGGGGUAAUGGCCUACCAAGGCGACGACGGGUAGCCGGCCUGAGAGGGUGACCGGCCACACUGGGACUGAGACACGGCCCAGACUCCUACGGGAGGCAGCAGUGGGGAAUAUUGCACAAUGGGCGCAAGCCUGAUGCAGCGACGCCGCGUGAGGGAUGACGGCCUUCGGGUUGUAAACCUCUUUCAGUAGGGAAGAAGCGAAAGUGACGGUACCUGCAGAAGAAGCGCCGGCUAACUACGUGCCAGCAGCCGCGGUAAUACGUAGGGCGCAAGCGUUAUCCGGAAUUAUUGGGCGUAAAGAGCUCGUAGGCGGUUUGUCGCGUCUGCUGUGAAAGACCGGGGCUCAACUCCGGUUCUGCAGUGGGUACGGGCAGACUAGAGUGAUGUAGGGGAGACUGGAAUUCCUGGUGUAGCGGUGAAAUGCGCAGAUAUCAGGAGGAACACCGAUGGCGAAGGCAGGUCUCUGGGCAUUAACUGACGCUGAGGAGCGAAAGCAUGGGGAGCGAACAGGAUUAGAUACCCUGGUAGUCCAUGCCGUAAACGUUGGGCACUAGGUGUGGGGGACAUUCCACGUUUUCCGCGCCGUAGCUAACGCAUUAAGUGCCCCGCCUGGGGAGUACGGCCGCAAGGCUAAAACUCAAAGGAAUUGACGGGGGCCCGCACAAGCGGCGGAGCAUGCGGAUUAAUUCGAUGCAACGCGAA
rnacentral:rRNA from 1 species